UAGGGAAUCUUCCGCAAUGGACGCAAGUCUGACGGAGCAACGCCGCGUGAGUGAAGAAGGAUUUCGGUUCGUAAAACUCUGUUGUUAGAGAAGAACAGCGCAUAGAGUAACUGUUAUGCGUGUGACGGUAUCUAACCAGAAAGGGACGGCUAACUACGUGCCAGCAGCCGCGGUAAUACGUAGGUCCCGAGCGUUGUCCGGAUUUAUUGGGCGUAAAGCGAGCGCAGGCGGUUAGAUAAGUCUGAAGUUAAAGGCAGUGGCUCAACCAUUGUAGGCUUUGGAAACUGUUUAACUGGAGUGCAGAAGGGGAGAGUGGAAUUCCAUGUGUAGCGGUGAAAUGCGUAGAUAUAUGGAGGAACACCGGUGGCGAAAGCGGCUCUCUGGUCUGUAACUGACGCUGAGGCUCGAAAGCGUGGGGAGCGAACAGG
rnacentral:rRNA from 1 species